AUACGGAGGGUGCAAGCGUUAUUGGGAAUCACUGGGCGUAAAGCGCGCGUAGGCGGCUUGGUCAGUCGGAUGUGAAAGCCCCGGGCUUAACCUGGGAACUGCAUUCGAUACUGCCAGGCUAGAGUAUGGUAGAGGGAAGCGGAAUUUCCGGUGUAGCGGUGAAAUGCGUAGAUAUCGGAAGGAACACCAGUGGCGAAGGCGGCUUCCUGGACCAAUACUGACGCUGAGGUGCGAAAGCGUGGGGAGCAAACAGGAUUAGAAACCCCAGUAGUCC
rnacentral:rRNA from 1 species